AUGAUACUCCCUCCGUUCCGAAUUAGUUGUCUUAGAUUUGUCUAGAUACGGAUGUAUCUAGACAAAUCUAAGACAACUAAUUGGGAACGGAGGGAGUAUUAC
rfam:Triticum aestivum genome assembly, contig: Triticum_aestivum_CS42_TGACv1_scaffold_061062_1DL